rnacentral:rRNA from 1 species
UACAGAGGGUGCAAGCGUUAAUCGGAAUUACUGGGCGUAAAGCGCACGUAGGUGGCUGGGUAAGUUGGAUGUGAAAUCCCCGGGCUUAACUUGGGAAUUGCAUUCAAGACUGCCUUGCUAGAGUGUGGAAGAGGGAAGCGGAAUUCCAGGUGUAGCGGUGAAAUGCGUAGAUAUCUGGAGGAACAUCAGUGGCGAAGGCGGCUUCCUGGUCCAACACUGACACUGAGGUGUGAAAGCGUGGGGAGCAAACAGGAUUGAGAAACCCUU